UACAGAGGUGGCAAGCGUUGUUCGGAAUUACUGGGCUUAAAGGGCGCGUAGGCGGCCUUGUAAGUCUUGUGUGAAAUCCCUCGGCUCAACUGAGGAACUGCACGGGAUACUGCGAGGCUUGAGUUCGGGAGAGGGAAGCGGAAUUCCGGGUGUAGCGGUGAAAUGCGUAGAUAUCCGGAGGAACACCGGUGGCGAAGGCGGCUUCCUGGACCGAUUACUGACGCUGAGGCGCGAAAGCUAGGGGAGCAAACGGG
rnacentral:rRNA from 1 species